rnacentral:rRNA from 1 species
AGCAAAGGAAAUUCUUAAUCAGACGGCUGGAAUCUUGGCAAGUAGGGGCUUCAAGUUGCAAAAGUGGUGCUCAAACAGCUGUACUGGAAGGGAUCCCCGAAGAGGACAGAGAAUCUUCUCUAAACUUUGAUGAUGGUAGCGACAUCAUAAAAACUCUUGGACUCGCUUGGGACUCGGCGUCGGAUCAGUUGCUGUUUUUUAUUUCGACCAAUCAGCAGAGAUCCAUACCAUUCAAAAGGUCAAUGUUGUUGACUAUAGCUCGCUUGUAUGACCCCAUUGGACUCAUUGGGCCGGUAAUCGCCAAGGCUUAAAUCUUUUGGAACGAGAGCUUGCCAUCAUAACUAGCGACAGCUUGCUGCAGUUUUGAGAAGGAACAGUUUCUUAAAUUUCCUCGUCUCGUGUCAAUACCUGCAGCAGAGUUAGAAGUUCACGGUUUCUGCGACGCCAGCAUAUGGGGCAUGUGUCUACGUCCUUUCUCGACGAACAUCAGCCAGCUGUCAGCUGUUUUGCUCCAAAUCGCGUGUAGAUUCUCUGAAAACAAUCACAGUUCCAAACCUUAAGCUCUAUGGCGCCGUCUUCUUAUCUAAUCUCAUGCGUGAGAUAUCUAAAAUAAAUCUCUUCGAUAUCUUUCCUGGAUAAAGACCGACCCUUGUAAGCUGAAUGUGCUUGUAGAUAAUCGCGUCACAGCAGUUCAAGAGCUAACUAAUAGCAUGGAAUGGCGCUACGUUCCUACUUCACUCAACCCGGCAGAUAUACUCUCGAGAGGGCCUACACGCAGUGAAUUAGAUCAAUCGUCACUGUGUUUCAACGGAAAUUCCAAUUGGAAACAAAUUGGACUGGCCUGCUUCUUGUUUGUCAGAAAACCCAGACCUCGAACUGCGUUAUCUCCCGUCGUUGAUAUAACUGUCAAUUUUAAAUAUGUCAAUUUAUUAGCUACAAUGCAGCGUAUAUUCGGAUAUUUAUAAAUUCCUACACAGAAGCAGGCAUCCUGGACUAACAGUGUCUGAUAUACAACAUGGGACCCAACUCUUAUUAGGGCUCGUCCAGAGAGCGCACCUGUGGGAAGAGAUCAAAUCAAUGCAAACGAGAAGCCGUCCAGUUGUAUCGCAUCACUAAACCCAUUUUUUGCUGAUUUCGGCAUUCUUAGAUUUGAUGGCCGCUUGAAAAACUUUUCGUUGGAAGCUGAAGCUGAAGCUCGCCAUCUAAUAAUUCUCCAGCGUCACCAUCCCAUCACAGAUUCAGUCAUCACACGGUUUCACAAUCUGGUUUUACAUCCUGGUCCACGUGCAUUUCUUGCUCAUAUUCGGUUGCAGUAUUGGCCUAUUGGUUAGAAGAAUGAGUGAGUUUGCGAGAGCUGCAUUUUCCAGGCGACGUUUGCAAUUGCAGGAAGGAAUUGUAUGAAUGAAGAUGGAUGGUAGAUGUACGAAUGUGGGGGUGCGAAUGGUGGGGUACGAAUGGUGGUGUAACGUGGGAGUGUGUCUGAAUGGGCAUUUUGUUGAACAUUGUGUUGUCCGGGGCUACCAGUCCCCAGCAUCAUGAAGCUAAUACCGGAAGUGUCCUUUUAGGAUACGAGUUCUGACCAGAGGAUUGAUUUGGGACCACAAGCGUUAGGGAACACAGAGGCGGUCUCGGCUCUCUGCUCUCUCAGCUUUAGUCUUUUGGGACUUGUUGGUGACACCAGCUGGCCGCUUAGCGGUUUGAUCUAUGAUCAACUUGAAAAUGCCGUCGCGGAAGAGGCAGGAAUAAGCCUCCCUCCUCACAGUGAGAAAGCCAUGCCAUGAACAUGGUGUAUACUGUUCCACCUGUCAAUUGCUGUUUUACAUCAAUUCCGUUAAAUUCCCUGCAGCAGUGUUUUAUCGUUUCUGGGGCCACCAACCCUUAACUGUUUUGGAGUUUAAAUUGGAAGUACCCUUCUGGUACGAGGCCUGACCAGAUGUCUUUAAUCUGGUACCACGGGUAACCAGGAGCCCACGGAACUUGUUCCGUCCUGGUUAGUUGGUGCGGCCCUUCGGGGAGUAUCGUGGUGGUUGUGGUUUAACACCCAAAUACAACCGGGUUCCAUAAUCCAGAUUUCGGAAGAAGCUUAGAUAGUCGUCCUACCAAACCAAGGUAAGUCACAACCAAACAGUCGUGUCUUUAAUUGGUACCUGCGAAAUUGUUCCAAGGGGGCGGUGAUUGACGCUUGAAUUAAUCCUAUACUAGGAACCGUGAGAUUAAGCCAUCGUGGCAGGUGCUCACGUUAAGCCCACUGACUUUCAUGUCUCUAUCUACUAUAUAGCGAAACCACAGCCAAGGGAACGGGCUUGGAAUAAUUAGCGGGGAAAGACCCUUUUGAGCUUGACUCUAAUCUGGCAGUGUAAGGACAUAAAGGGUGGGAGAUAUUAGACUUCGGUUUGGUAUCGACAAUGAAAUACCACUACUCUUAUUGUUUCCUUACUUACUUGAUUAAAUGGAACGUGUAUCAUUUCCUAGCCAUUAUACGGAUAUAAUUAUUAUGUCUUAUGGUAUAGGGUUUUGAUGCAAGCUUCUUGAUCAAAGUAUCACGAGUUUGUUAUAUAAUCGCAAACAAAUUCUUUAAUGAGAGAAUGCAUUUAUAAAUUAUUGAUUUAAAAAUUUGGUAUAACUCCAAUUACUCAGGUAUGAUCCAAUUCAAGAACAUUGCCAGGUAGGGAGUUUGAUUGGGGCGGUACAUCUCUCAAAUAAUAACGGAUGUGUCCCAAGGCCAGCUCAGUGCGGACAGAAACCACACAUAGAGAAAAACAGCAUGCGGACUUGAUCUCGGUGUUCAGUACACACAGGGACAGCAAAAGCUCGGCCUAUCGAUCCUUUUGGUUUAAAGAGUUUUUAACAAGAGGUGUCAGAAAAGUUACCAUAGGGAUAACUGACUUGUGGCGGCCAAGCGUUCAUAGCGACGUCGCUUUUUGAUCCUUCGAUGUCGGCUCUUCCUAUCAUUGUGAAGCAAAAUUCACCAAGCGUUGGAUUAUUCACUCAUGGGAAUUCAAGGGAACGUGAGCUGGGUUUAGACCGUCGUGAUACAGGUUAGUUUUACCCCACUAAUGACAAAACGUUGUUGCGACAGCAUUCCUGCGUAGUACGAGAGGAACCGCAGGUACGGACCAAUGGCACAAUACUUGUUCGAGCGAACAGUGGUAUGAUGCUACGUCCGUUGGAUUAUGCCUGAACGCCUCUAAGGUCGUUUCCGUGCUGGACAGCAAUGAUAAAUAAGGGGCAAUUUGCAUUGUAUGGCUUCUAAACCAUUAAAAGUUUUUAAUUUAUUUUAUCAACGACAAUGGAUGUGAUGCCAAUGUUAUUUAUAACAUAGUAAAUUGGGAGGAUCUUCGAUCACCCUAUUUAAUACAAUUACAAAGCCUAGAAU